UACAGAGGUCUCAAGCGUUGUUCGGAUUCAUUGGGCGUAAAGGGUGCGUAGGCGGCGCGGUAAGUCGGGUGUGAAAUCUCGGAGCUUAACUCCGAAACUGCAUUCGAUACUGGCGUGCUUGAGGACUGGAGAGGAGACUGGAAUUCAUGGUGUAGCAGUGAAAUGCGUAGAGAUCUGGAAGAACACCAAAGGCGAAGGCAGCGUCCUGGCGAGCAACUGACGCUAAUGUGCGAAAGCUAGGGGAGCGAACGGG
rnacentral:rRNA from 1 species